GCUUUAUAAAUUUAGAGAUCUUAUAUAUUUUUAUAUAGCUGUAAUUUCUUAAAUGUUUAUUUGGUUGGGGCGACAAUAGUAUAACAGAAGUAACUGCUUUUAGGUAGUACAAGCUUAUUUGAGUAAUACCGUUAAUUGAUCCUUUAUAAAGAUUUAAAGACCAAGUU
rnacentral:rRNA from 1 species